rnacentral:lncRNA from 1 species
GCACCCCGUGACGCUGUCCGCUGGCACUGGCGUCCUCCUGCGGCCAAUCCUUCGGAGAAGAGUGCCGCAUGCGGGCGAGGUGCGGCUUCAUGUGCCUCCCUCUGAAAUGGUGUUGAAACUGAAGGUUCUGAGAUAGUAGUAAGGAUGGUGGACUCGUGACGGUGCCUGACGUCUGUUAGUCAGUCUGUUUGUCUGCUAGUCUGCUCGUCUUCCAGCCUGCCCUUCUAAACUGCUGUCACGGCGGCAUGCCUCAGAACGAAGACGACGCCGGGGAUUCGAACGCACGAUCCAUCUGGGCGAGGCUUCGGAGCAGCAUUCGAUACGUGCUGAAUUGCCUCUUCACUUUCUUCUUCUCGUCGGCGCAUCUUCGAGGGAACAGCCCUGCGCGGGAAGUUAUAGCCGAGAAACCGGAGGCGCGGCUGCUCGUGCUGGGAGC